AUUGAACGCUGGCGGCAGGCCUAACACAUGCAAGUCGAGCGGAUGAAGGGAGCUUGCUCCUGGAUUCAGCGGCGGACGGGCGAGUAAUGCCUAGGAAUCUGCCUGGUAGUGGGGGAUAACGUCCGGAAACGGGCGCUAAUACCGCAUACGUCCUGAGGGAGAAAGUGGGGGAUCUUCGGACCUCACGCUAUCAGAUGAGCCUAGGUCGGAUUAGCUAGUUGGUGGGGUAAAGGCCUACCAAGGCGACGAUCCGUAACUGGUCUGAGAGGAUGAUCAGUCACACUGGAACGGAGACACGGUCAAGACUCCUACGGGAGGCAGCAGUGGGGAAUAUUGGACAAUGGGCGAAAGCCUGAUCCAGCCAUGCCGCGUGUGUGAAGAAGGUCUUCGGAUUGUAAAGCACUUUAAGUUGGGAGGAAGGGCAGUAAGUUAAUACCUUGCUGUUUUGACGUUACCAAAAGAAUAAGCACCGGCUAACUACGUG
rnacentral:rRNA from 1 species